AGCAAAGAGCGGCUGCAUCAACUGCCAACGCAUAUGCGGAAUUUGCAUCAGUGGUACCUUGAUGCGUGCAAGAUGGACCAAAGAUACAUCGUGGCGAAUAUCCCAGAAGAAUAUUACUUCCGAAGGGAGGAUCUCCAUAUUGAGAUUUCCGAACUCUGGCAGUUAUUCAAUUUUGAGGCCCUCAACAAAUCUCUCAUGAGUUGCUAUUGCUUACUGAAGAUCAGUGAAUGCAGAAGUAAUAAGAUAAUCAAUAUUGGGUUUGUUGACCCAGAUAAAGUACAUCAUGACACGGUAAGGGAUAAACCCGUCGAAACGGGAGGAAACCUACUAAGGUUUAUAGGGGAGCAACAUUUCUGUGAUUUAAUACUGUUUCCUUACAACUACAGGUGAGAGUCUUACUGAUCUGUUGUGCACAUUCAAUUUUUCUUACUCGAUGUUAAGUGUAAUUCAUGACGUAUAUAUAUAUAUAAACAUGUGCAGUUUCCACUAGAUUCUGCUAGACAUUCAAGUUGAUAAGGGAAUAGUUGAAGUAAGGGACCCAUUGAGUAGAGGCCUAGAAGGGUUCCACGACUUGCAGAAGUUGCUCCAGAGGGUUUGGAGAGUUUUCAAGAAGAAUACUGCGGGUAACUUCGCAGAGAAGCUAACAUUUACUCCUGUACCUUGCGCCCAGCAGCCACAGGGGACGAAUCUAUGUGGAUACUACGUUUGCGAGUCCAUUCGCAUGUUAACCACUGAGAAGCACAACCAUAAUAGAUUCAAUGUCGACUUCAUGCGGGAGAAGCUCCAACCACAAGAACACCUACUAGGAAUUACGGAGGAAGUGGCGGGACUUCUGAUGAGAGAA